UACAGGGGGGGCAAGCGUUGUUCGGAAUUACUGGGCGUAAAGGGCGCGUAGGCGGCAAUUCAAGUCAGUUGUGAAAUCUCCGAGCUUAACUCGGAACGGUCAACUGAUACUGUUUUGCUAGAGUACAGAAGGGGCAAUCGGAAUUCUUGGUGUAGCGGUGAAAUGCGUAGAUAUCAAGAGGAACACCUGAGGUGAAGACGGGAUUGCUGGGCUGAAUACUG
rnacentral:rRNA from 1 species